AGGGGGCGCCCUGGCGGGGUCGGGAUCAGGUCAUCGCCUGGCCGCCCGGGGCCCCCAGGCUUGCGCGCCCCGGCCGGGCAGUCGGCAGCUCUCGGGCAGCAGGUCAGAUGGGGCUCGCCCGCCGGACGCGAGGCCGGUCACUCGGCCCCGCGCCGCCCAUCCUGGCCGAGGAAGGAAGUCGCAUUCUCUAUCUAGGAAGAAAGGAAGUAGAUACUGGAGAAAGUAGCAUGCCCUUUGGGCUCUCAGGUCGGGCUCCACCCUCGGCUCUUUUGGAGACUGCUUCCGCCUCCUUACAGCCCAAAUUUCUUGGUUCUGUCUGGAUUGCCACAAAGCAGGCUUAGUCCCUAAAAACCCGGACCGAGGUGAACUGGCUGCACCAAAGUGGGGGAAGGGAGUGACAGGGCUGGCAAAAGGAGUCAACAACCGUCUCUGGCAAUCAGGCAGGACUAGAAAGUGCUUGUGAAGACAGCUGAUGUUAGAGAAACACUGGAGUCAUCUAACCUUAAAGGCGGCAUGAGGGAUUUUGGAAACUGGAAAGGAGUAAUCACAGUUCAUUCAUGCUAAAAUUUUGGACCAGCUCUUAGCUCUCUUCAACUUGUUUUCAAAUAUUCCCAGUGUCUCUUCUUCCCUGACAUCUCUCCAAGCCUCACCGGUGUGCCAAAGAAUGAAAUGGAUGACUUCCAAAGGGAGACGAGCAUACGUUGGAAAGAUCCUGAUUCAGGCCAAGGAAGGGGCCCAGAAGAGCCCCAGAGUGCUCCAGCCGUGUGCACAAACCUGUGGGCAAAGGUAACAUUCUUCUGCACAACUAAAAGGUUGAGAUCCUUGUUCUUCAGAACAAGCACUGAGCCUAACAACCAGCCCAACAGUGCCUUGGAUCUGGGGCCUUGGACCUUCAAGCUGCUAGGUGGGCAAAGCAGAGGCUGGCAGAUUGGGGUCAAGGAGACAGACAGCUGUGGGAGGGAGAGUAGACAGACAAGUCACCCUGAGGAAAGGGAGUCCCAAGUGCUCAGGAGGAGCCAACAUCUCCUGCAGCAGUUCGGUGUUGCUGAAUGAGGAUGAUGGAUUCAUUCCUGGAAUUCCCAGAAUACAGAGGACAGAUGAGAUCACACACACACACACACACACACACACACACACCAACUCUGCUCCGGAAGUGAAAAUGAGUGCACAUUCAAAACUGCAUGGGGAUGGGGCAACAAUGACUUCUUAAAAUCUAUGGGUAACACUGUCAAUCAGGGAAAGGUUUACAUUCUUCAAUUAAAAUUACUUUUUUUCCCUUA